rnacentral:rRNA from 1 species
UACAGAGGUCUCAAGCGUUGUUCGGAUUCAUUGGGCGUAAAGGGCGCGUAGGCGGCGGGGUAAGUCGGGUGUGAAAUCUCAGAGCUCAACUCUGAAACUGCACUCGAUACUGCUCUGCUUGAGGACUGGAGAGGAGACUGGAAUUCACGGUGUAGCAGUGAAAUGCGUAGAUAUCGGGAGGAACACCAAUGGCGAAGGCAGCUCGCUGGGACGUUACUGACGCUGAGACGCGAAAGCGUGGGGAGCAAACAGG